rnacentral:rRNA from 1 species
UACAGAGGUCUCAAGCGUUGUUCGGAUUCAUUGGGCGUAAAGGGUGCGUAGGCGGCCAACUAAGUCAGACGUGAAAUCCCUCGGCUUAACCGGGGAACUGCGUCUGAUACUGGAUGGCUUGAGGUUGGGAGAGGGAUGCGGAAUUCCAGGUGUAGCGGUGAAAUGCGUAGAUAUCUGGAGGAACACCGGUGGCGAAGGCGGCAUCCUGGACCAAUUCUGACGCUGAGGAGCGAAAGCCAGGGAGCAAACGGGG